rnacentral:rRNA from 1 species
UACGUAGGGGGCAAGCGUUGUCCGGAAUCAUUGGGCGUAAAGCGCGUGUAGGCGGUCCGGUAAGUCCGCUGUGAAAGUCGGGGGCUCAACCCUGGAAAGCCGGUGGAUACUGUCGGGCUAGAGUCCGGAAGAGGCGAGUGGAAUUCCUGGUGUAGCGGUGGAAUGCGCAGAUAUCAGGAGGAACACCGAUGGCGAAGGCAGCUCGCUGGGACGGUACUGACGCUGAGGCGCGAAAGCGUGGGGAGCGAACAGG